UAGGGAAUCUUCGGCAAUGGACGAAAGUCUGACCGAGCAACGCCGCGUGAGUGAAGAAGGUUUUCGGAUCGUAAAACUCUGUUGUUAGAGAAGCACAAGGACGUUAGUAACUGAACGUCCCCUGCCGGUAUCUAACCAGAAAGCCACGGCUAACUACGUGCCAGCCGCCGCGGUAAUACGUAGGUGGCAAGCGUUGUCCGGAUUUAUUGGGCGUAAAGCGAGCGCAGGCGGUUUCUUAAGUCUGAUGUGAAAGCCCCCGGCUCAACCGGGGAGGGUGAUUGGAAACUGGGAGACGUGAUGGCAGAAGAGGAGAGUGGAAUUCCAUGUGUAGCGGUGAAAUGCGUAGAUAUAUGGAGGAACACCAGUGGCGAAGGCAGCUCUAUGGUCUGUAUCUGACGAUGAGGCUCGAAAGCGUGGGGAGCAAACAGG
rnacentral:rRNA from 1 species